rnacentral:rRNA from 1 species
UGGGGAAUUUUGGACAAUGGGCGAAAGCCUGAUCCAGCCAUGCCGCGUGCAGGAUGAAGGCCUUCGGGUUGUAAACUGCUUUUGUACGGAACGAAAAGACUCUGGUUAAAUACCUGGGGUCCAUGACGGUACCGUAAGAAUAAGCACCGGCUAACUACGUGCCAGCAGCCGCGGUAAUACGUAGGGUGCAAGCGUUAAUCGGAAUUACUGGGCGUAAAGCGUGCGCAGGCGGUUAUAUAAGACAGAUGUGAAAUCCCCGGGCUCAACCUGGGAACUGCAUUUGUGACUGUAUAGCUAGAGUACGGCAGAGGGGGAUGGAAUUCCGCGUGUAGCAGUGAAAUGCGUAGAUAUGCGGAGGAACACCGAUGGCGAAGGCAAUCCCCUGGGCCUGUAACUGACGCUCAUGCACGAAAGCGUGGGGAGCAAACAGGAUUAGAUACCCUGGUAGUCCACGCCCUAAACGAUGCCAAACUGGUUGUUGGGGUCUUCACUG